UACGGGGGGGGUAAGCGUUGUUCGGAAUUACUGGGCGUAAAGGGCUCGUAGGCGGCCAACUAAGUCAGAUGUGAAAUCCCUCAGCUUAACUGGGGAACUGCGUCUGAUACUGGAUGGCUUGGAUUCGGGAGAGGAAUGCGGAAUUCCAGGUGUAGCGGUGAAAUGCGUAGAUAUCUGGAGGAACACCGGUGGCGAAGGCGGCAUUCUGGACCGAUAUUGACGCUGAGGAGCGAAAGCCAGGGGAGCAAACGGG
rnacentral:rRNA from 1 species